rnacentral:rRNA from 1 species
GUGGGGAAUUUUGGACAAUGGGCGCAAGCCUGAUCCAGCAAUGUCGCGUGCAGGAAGAAGGCCUUCGGGUUGUAAACUGCUUUUGUACGGAACGAAACGGUCCUGGUUAAUACCUGGGGCUAAUGACGGUACCGUAAGAAUAAGCACCGGCUAACUACGUGCCAGCAGCCGCGGUAAUACGUAGGGUGCAAGCGUUAAUCGGAAUUACUGGGCGUAAAGCGUGCGCAGGCGGUUUUGUAAGACAGGCGUGAAAUCCCCGGGCUCAACCUGGGAAUUGCGCUUGUGACUGCAAGGCUGGAGUGCGGCAGAGGGGGAUGGAAUUCCGCGUGUAGCAGUGAAAUGCGUAGAUAUGCGGAGGAACACCGAUGGCGAAGGCAAUCCCCUGGGCCUGCACUGACGCUCAUGCACGAAAGCGUGGGGAGCAAACAGGAUUAGAUACCCGAGUAGUCC